rnacentral:rRNA from 1 species
UACGGAGGGGGCUAGCGUUGUUCGGAUUUAUUGGGCGUAAAGCGCUCGCAGGUGGUUCGUCGCGUCGUGCGUGAAAGACCCCGGCUCAACUGGGGAGGGUCGUGCGAUACGGGCGAACUGGAGGCCAGUAGGGGGAUGUGGAAUUCCGGGUGUAGUGGUGGAAUGCGCAGAUAUCAGGAGGAACACCGGUGGCGAAGGCGGGUCUCUGGGCAGUAACUGACGCUGAGGAGCGAAAGCGUGGGGAGCAAACAGG